rnacentral:rRNA from 1 species
GACGGGGGGGGCAAGUGUUCUUCGGAAUGACUGGGCGUAAAGGGCACGUAGGCGGUGAAUCGGGUUGAAAGUUAAAGUCGCCAAAAACUGGCGGAAUGCUCUCGAAACCAAUUCACUUGAGUGAGACAGAGGAGAGUGGGAUUUCGUGUGUAGGGGUGAAAUCCGCAGAUCUACGAAGGAACGCCAAAAGCGAAGGCAGCUCUCUGGGUCCCUACCGACGCUGGAGUGCGAAAGCAUGGGGAGCGAACGGG